CAAGAAAUCUCUUCUGUUGUUGAAUAAUAUUAGUUAUUAGUAACCAUGCCACAGAAACAAAAGAAAAUGGGUUUCUGUGUAGUAGUUGAGAGGAUUUUCUGUCCUGUCACCCCUGGCUCGGAGCCUGUGGGUCAGUGGAGAUGGUUCUGCCGAGGGCAGGUGCCCUUGCAGCCCCUGUGCUGCUGCCCACAGCCAAAUCCUGCUCAGGAGCUGGGCCUGUGCUUGGAGCUCAGCCAGCAGGGCCGGGGUGUUUGCAGCUGGGCAGAUGUUUGGCCACAGAACCCCGGGAUGGCUGUGGUGCCAUGGGGAACCUGAGCCUGCCAAAGCCACUGCCAGAGAGGUGCAGGCAGAGGGCAAAGAACCCAAACUGCUGCUUUAAAGUGAUCCUGAGAAGAGCUCUUAAUGCUGACACUUUAGAUACAGGAAUGUAUUCCUGACCUCACCAGUGAAAAUGAGCCAGAUCUGUGUAGUUUAUCUUAGGAAGGGAAGUGGUCUGAUUUCCCAUGUUCUCUGCAGUUGCAGUUGGGAUCUGAGGGGUCGAGUGUCCCUGGGGGCACCGUGGGGCAGCUGCUGCCCCAGUUUCACGUGGGAGAUAAGGGCUGGAGCCGAACUGCUGCUGGCGGGGUUUUUCUGCCCGUGUGUGUGUGUGUGUCCAUCUGUCUGUCCGUGCUGGGGCUGUGCUGGGUGUCAAAGGCCAGAAGGGCUCCAGUGUCACCACUGGCCAUUGGCACAGCUGGGUUUUGGUUUCUGAGCAGAGCUGGACAGAGGGGCCAGCCCUUUGCAGAGGCCUCUGCUCUCCGUGCCCACGGCAUGGCCUCAUCCCACUGAGCCAGCUGCUGCCCCUGCUGUUGGGCUCCUUGUCUUUUUUUUUCUUUGUUUUAUUUCAAAGUGGCCUUCUGUAACAAAAGAAACAAAAACAAAACAAUGCCUUUGGGUGGUUUAGGUGGAGGUGAGGUGUCGCUGCUGUGUGGUGUCGGUGUGGUUGUCCGUGCGCACGCCUGGUAGAUUCCUGUAGACAUGCAAUGCAAGGCUUCUUGUGUCUGGUUUCUGUAUGUAGCCUGUGUCUCUUUGGACUGGUUUGCAUCCUGAGGGCGUUUUUUGCAUUUAAAGAAAAAAAAAAAAAGUGAGAACUGUUCCAGGUUGGGUGGGUACAUGGGCUCUGGAGCUCUCCUGUGUGCCAGGGGCAGGGACAGUGUCCUCUGCCCCAUGUGAUGAAGUGGUCAGUGCUUGUUCGGCCCCUUUGCUUUCUGUGAUGGGUAUCCAGUGUCCCCAGUGGGGUCAGCAGCCUUGGCCAGAUGAACCAGUUGACCUCUGCUUACCUGAGCAGGACUUUGGCUCAGCCUGUCUCGGUGUUCGGGCACUUGUUUAAUUAGCUUAGUUAGAUACGUGGCUGCUGCAGAGGGCUGGUGGAGCUGGAGUGGAGGUGGGCAGCUCUGAGCACCCCCAGAUCCCUCACUUUGUUUGCGAUUUCCCGGUUCCAAGAGCAGUGCCUUCCCUCCAGAGUCACGGAUCCACGGGGCUGGAGCUGACCCAGAGCAGGCAGGAGCUGCCCGAGGGCCGUGCCUGGAUCCAGCAGAGCCGUGCAGGGGAAAGCAAAGCCUUGGCAGCUUCAGGAAUGUGUGCUGCAGCCCCAGGCUCUGCUCCCUUUCUCCAGCGCUGGACGCGAUGGACGUGGAUGAUCAUCCAGCACUGGGCAAGUCAAACCCCACGGUGGUGCUGGGGCAGGCCAGGGUGGGGCUGGAGCCCGGGUGGGCUCAGGCAGAGGGGCUGGGGGGACACCACGAGUGUAAAUAACUGCAUUAGAAUUACCGAGACUGGUGGGAUGUGCGGGAAGGCCAGAGGGGGCAGAGCAGCUGUAACCCCACUGUGGUGCUCAGGUGCCUGCCCAGCCCAGUGCCACCAUGCAGCAGGUGAACGCAGAGCACACAGGGACACUGGAACUUUGUUUAGGCCAACAGGUCUCCGGAUGCACUUCAUAAAGGGCUGAUCCUUGCUGAUAGGGGUAAAUUCCUGAUCAGCAGCUGUAAUGGGCUGGGGCUGAGGGAUGGCUGCACCCACCCCAGCACACAGAGGCCUCUGUGGGGCCUUUCUGUGGUGGAAUGGGGAAAUGUUCCCUUAACUCGCCAGGGACUCAUCUCCAGGCAGACCUAUUUAGCUUAAAAACCUGAAGCAGCUGCAAAAACUGCCAGUAGCAGCCAAGCAGGCAGGUGAGAGUGAGGAGGGACCAGCCCUGCUGCAGAGGAGAUGUAGCUGGAGGAGUUUAAGGGCUUUGAACAAGGACUGGGAGUGAUGGAAGAGGAUCUCUCCUGAAGUCCAGCAGCUCAGCUGAAUUUAAUGCAGCUGCAGCACAAUCAGGCCUAAAAUUUCAGGAUGAAACUCUUACUUUUUAACUUGUCACAAGCCUAUUUCUGUUGGUGGGCUGGGCUGGCUCAGGCUCAGCCAGUGGGUACAUGAAAGCUGCCUUAAAGCCAUUUAAGGGACCUCAAGAGACUACUUCAUGGUGACCUAUUUAUUGUCUUUAGCACUACAGCCUAUG